CGAAAUCAGUUAAGAACUCAUUGUUAUUUACAAGGACAGCCUACUCCUUCCUCCUCGUUGGGGGCUUGAAUCCCGGUCUUCCGGUGUUUGCAAUAUGGACAACUAUCAAAUGCUUCUCAAAGAUGCCCUCUGGUGGUCAAACUAGCAAUAACAGAAAAAAUGGCUGAGAAUUAAAUGAUGUGCCACAGAAUGCUAAGACAGGACGCAAGGUGUGCCGCAGUAUGACGCAACUUGUAAAGGAGGAACCACUGUAUGUUUGUCCUCUAUAGUUGCGUGCUUUUUUUUCAGUAGCAGCCUACCUGUUGGCUCUUGAUCGUUGUAGCCUAUCCUCCUGCUAAUUGCAUCAUUUUAAUUACAUCUUCCAUUGAUUAGAUAUUGCCUAACUUUUGCCCCACACGGAGGCUAUGACUGUAGCCUACUGCCGCUUUGAUGACUUACUAUUGGACAACAACAACAACAAGCUACACACACCAAUCUUGUGAAAAGAAUGAGCAGCAGCAGAAAUGAUACAAUACAUAUAUAUUUAGACUCAUGUUUGGUGAUGUUUUUCGUGACACAUUUUACCCCCUAUGAACCUUUUGCAAGUUUUACAGCCCAGUAGGCUACUGGGUUACCUUCAGAUGACUCCCCUGAAGCAACUGACAUCUUCGUGUUGGUGAGAGUCUCCCCAUUCAAUAUUGGGGACACAUUAGUUUGUAGCUCCAACGGUCUGGAGAGACGGUUUUGUGAGAAGACCCUCGAAACGCUGCAAAGUUUGUGGAUGUUGGAGAGCCAAACAAACGACAGUGUCGCAUCUUUCGAUGGUGGUGACUUAAGUUUGUAGCUCACACGAUUUGGGUUUCACAGACAAUUUGGAUGAUGUUCUUUUCCGGAUCUUCUCAAGUGUAGAAAAAUGCCGCUUUCACAAGUCCCAUGUUAUGUCAGCAGAAAGAGAUGAUUGAGCUGCAGCCACUACAAGACAUGUUCGUCUUGUCUUGUCAGGUCUUACCAGCGUUCUCUCCCGCCUUCCUGUUUCUCUAGUUCUGUUUCCUAGUUUUUCCCGGUUCUGACCAUUCUGCCUGCCCUGACCCCGAACCUGCCUGCCAUCCUGUACCUGCCUGACUGACCUGAUCACGAACCUCUGCCUGCCCUCGACCUGCCCUUUGCCUGCCACGUGUUUCCAAUAAAUCAUGUGAUAACUGUACUAUCUGCCUCCUGUGUCUGCAUGGGCCAUAUCCUGAGUCGUGAUAACUACGCAUUUGGC
rnacentral:lncRNA from 1 species